rnacentral:tRNA from 1 species
UAGCUCAGUUGGUAGAGCAACUGAUUUGUAAUCAGUGGGUCAGGGGUUCGACUCCUC